ensembl:piRNA 21ur-4066 ncRNA
GUGGUUUGAUCAAAAGUGAAA